AACGCGAAGAACCUUACCUGAUCUUGACAUCCCUCUGACCGGUGAGUAAUGUCACCUUUCCUUCGGGACAGAGGAGACAGGUGGUGCAUGGUUGUCGUCAGCUCGUGUCGUGAGAUGUUGGGUUAAGUCCCGCAACGAGCGCAACCCUUAUCUUUAGUAGCCAGCAUUUAAGGUGGGCACUCUAGAGAGACUGCCGGGGAUAACCCGGAGGAAGGUGGGGAUGACGUCAAAUCAUCAUGCCCCUUAUGACCAGGGCUACACACGUGCUACAAUGGCGUAAACAAAGGGAAGCGACCCUGUGAAGGUAAGCAAAUCCCAAAAAUAACGUCUCAGUUCGGAUUGUAGUCUGCAACUCGACUACAUGAAGCUGGAAUCGCUAGUAAUCGCAGAUCAGAAUGCUGCGGUGAAUACGUUCCCGGGUCUUGUACACACGC
rnacentral:rRNA from 1 species